AUUGAACGCUGGCGGCAGGCCUAACACAUGCAAGUCGAGCGGAGCGGCGGAGGGGUGAGUAAUGCCUAGGAAUCUGCCUGGGAGUGGGGGAUAACGUUCGGUAACGGGCGCUAAUACCGCAUACUAUCAGAUUAGCCUAGGUCGGAUUAGCUAGUUGGUGGGGUAAAGGUCUACCAAGGCGACGAUCCGUAGCUGUGCUGAGAGGAUGAUCAGUCACACGGGAACUGAGACACGGUCCAGACUCCUACGGGAGGCAGCAGUGGGGAAUAUUGCACAAUGGGCGAAAGCCUGAUACAGCCAUGCCGCGUGUAUGAAGAAGGUCUUCGGGUUGUAAAGCACUUUAAGUUAGGAGGCGUUACCAACAGAAUAAGCACCGGCUAACUCCGUGCCAGCAGCCGCGGUAAUAC
rnacentral:rRNA from 1 species